AUCAAUUCCCAAUGGAUUCAGUCAAAUUCCUUCACUCCAAACAUUCUUCUUCUUGAAUAUCCUGUUUCACUCCUCUGAGCAAUAAAAAUGGUCUGUUCUCACAGAGCAAGACCUAACAUUGUCGAAAAAGUUCUAAAGUAAAACACUUUUAAAAGGAAGCAUUUUUCCCCUUUUAUUUAGCUUUGCUGUAGGAAGUUACAGUGAGAUCAGUAUAAUAGAAGACACAGAUUGAAAUAUUCCUGCUAAUUGAAAACCUGGUGAGGAUACCGUGAGGUGGAAAAACAUGUCAGAAAUACCCGUGAGAUUCUGUCCAACGUAUAGGAUUCACUGUCAGAAACAAAGGACCUGGUACAAGUGCACUGGAUUGCCAUUCAUUGUAUGUGGAAGCAAAAGUCAGCAGGGCUACAUGGGAAUAUUGAUAUUCCCUUACCUGAAACCUGUAGGUAACUAAAAAAGGCUACAUUAACCAAAACUAAAGACUGGGAGAAAAACAUAGGAGGGAAAGAACGAACAUGAAGAAACAGGAAAGUUGGAAUGCAAAGAAUAAUCACUGAUGUUCGGCAUUCACUUAUGAUGAACAGAAUGUAAAAGAAAUGAUGCCAGAUAGUAACAAAUCCAAGAAAAGUUUAUUAUGAAUAUGGCACCUGUAAGAUGGUAAAAAAACUGUGUUACAGAAAGACAACCAUGUAUGACAUGUCGCUUUAACUGAUGAAAACCUACAAAAGUAUAAAAUAACCCUGUUGUAAAAUGAAGUAUGUACAUUUUUGAAUUGCAGCAUUAUUCAUGGUAAAUGAACAAAAAAUGUGUUUUCCAAAAAAAUAAGCCAGGCACUCAAAGUUAGCUUCAGUUAGUUUUUUUUUUUUGUCUUUUUCCCUCUGAAAACAAAAAACAAAAUAAAAAUGUACCAUAGUUUUUUCUUUUUAAUAUUUUAAUUUGUUUGUACUUAGAAUUUAUAACACUGUUAACACUGAUACUAAGAGAAUCCCCUUUCUCCCAUAUUCUUCUACUUGGCACCAAGUUCCUCAUAAAAGAAUCUGUAUAAUUGUACAAGAAAUAGUUAAAAACACAGACACAGUCUUCACAGGUAAUGAAGUGAUUUCUCAUAUUGUAAUUUUAAACACUAUUUAUCUGACAGCAGCUGAGAUUAGUUUAAGAUUAAAUCACCAGCAAUCAUUUUGACACAACACAGAUACAUUGAAACAGCUCGCCCGGCUGUUCUGUUAGUAACAUAUGGGUGUAUUUCCUGGUCCACAGUGUCUGUUUUUGGAGCUGCCCCCAAGCCCUGUCCCGACCGCUUCUGCUCUACGUACAAAAUGCUAAAAUCUAGGAUCCUGUUAACCUGCAGCGGUGACGCCAAGUUCUCCUGCAACCGUUCCAACAGCGAGUCCCGUUAUUGUCAUUUUUAAAAACAUUAACAUCAUGACCUGGGUUUGAGUAACAACACGUCUUCACAGAAACCACAGACACAAGUUUCCUGAUGUCGGGGGGAAGCCUGAUUCAGGGUCCUUGAAGUCAACAGGUUUGGUGGAAACCAAUGAAAUACACCCAAUGCACAAGAGAAGCACAAGGGACUCUGGGAAUGUUUCACAUCUGAGGCUUUUAAGGUUCCAGUCUGCUAAAUGCUACUUCAGUUUUUUUUUUUAUUCCUCAUCACGUUUGAGCUGGAAACUGCAAUCCCAGAAUUCCUCAGUGGCAAAAAAAUGGCUCCUUAAACCUUUGAGCUAGUUUAGAGUCUUUUAUCUCUGAGAAGAGAGAGAGGUUUGUAGACUACACGACAGCAAAGCAAUAGCAGAAACAGAAAAAAGUAAUACAUACAAAAAGGAAGCAGCAAAAUAGGUGACACUACAUUGGAAGGCCACCACACAAAAUCCACUAACCUCCACUGGUUCACUAAGACUGCAAGGGGGCUGGAAGGAGAACCAAUGUUUCCCCUCCCGAGCCCGGACUAGCACAGAGAGGACAAAGGACAAAACAGCUACAUUAGCUUAGUAUAUACUGCAUAUAGUAACACACACUUAAGUUGCUAUGGAGACUGACAGCCAAUGACACUUACACAUUGUACAAGUUUACGGUUAUCACGCUGCGUAAUAGAUGACUUGAUGGACGGCUGCCAAAGGAUGAAGUGACAGUUUUCUUCCGUUUUAUUACUUUAGUGUUUUUUUUUUUUUUUUUACAUCAAAUCACAGUGUUUUAACACCAUACUGUGAUAGUAAAGUUUUUUUUGGCAACAAUGGGUAAAAAUUAGGAAUGGAUUUUCAAAAAAAAAUUUUUUGAUUGAAAAUGCAUGUCCUUAUUACAAUCUCUAUUUGAUAUGUGAUUUCCAGAGAGAGUUAAGGGGUACAGGGAUGAAGGGGAACUGAUUUCGGAAAGGACACCAGGCUUUAAGCUAAAGAGGGAGUGUAAACAAUUAACCCAAAAAUUAUUAAAAAAUCCCCAAAACAAUGAAAAAAGCUUUGAUCAAAGCCUGUUGGAGUUCAACAUUCAUCUUCAAGUUUAUGAUGCAAUAUUAGUCUCAGUUGAACUGAGAGAUAAAAAAGAAUUCAACAAACAAACAAACAAAAACAAAAAACCUAUCAAACUUCUGUAUCCCUUUACAAACUCAAUCUGAUUGAGUUAAAGUACUCUCUCAUGCUCAUGGGUAAGUGAUAAACAUAAAAAAAAAAUCGAAAACAAAAAAAAUCUGUUGAAGGUUUGACUUUUCAGUGGAAAAGCUCUGAAGCCGCCGUUUGUCUGGAGUUCCGGAACAGUACCUACAUCAGCCAGCUGAGUGAGGGUAACUCAAUGAUAGCACCAUGAAUCUGCAAACAGAAGAUGGAACUGGAAAAAUCUCACACUGACCUGUUCCAUGUCCUGGGAUUUUAUAGUAACAUUCUAUUCACAGGUCAAUACCCGGCUUAAAUUGCUUUUUUAAAAUGCAUGAUUUGCAAGUUAAGUUUAGCUAUAAAAA